AAGACUAUGACGUUGAUAGGUCGGGUGUGUAAGUGUAGCGAUACAUUGAGCUAACCGAUACUAAUGAACCGUGAGGCUUAACCUUACAACGCCGAAG
rnacentral:rRNA from 1 species